rnacentral:misc_RNA from 1 species
AAAAGCACGAGAAACUGCCAGCUGACCGUUCACUCUUGCAACAUCUCCUGAGGCAAUACACCAAAAAUGAACACACAGUGGUUGUUAUGGCAGAAAUAGAAAUCACAAGGAAGACUAUCCCAUGGAAAUCUGAGAUUAUAUAUUGAAUAAUCAACUUACAAACCAAUGAAUGAAAUCAUGCAAAGACAAAUGUAGGCAUUCCAACUUAAACCAGAUUACACCACUUCCUACCCUUCAUGGUGAAAUGCAAAUUAUACAACUUUAUUUAUUUAUAUCACAUCAGUAUGCACACAAAUAUGUACAGUUGUAAUCAUACAAAAAGACAUAUAGCCAUUUACUAGCAGUCUGAAAU